GGUUCUGUGGCCCAAUGGAUAAGGCGCCUGACUACGAAUCAGGAGAUUGCAGGUUCGAGUCCUGGCAGGAUCG
rnacentral:tRNA from 1 species